rnacentral:rRNA from 1 species
UACGUAGGGGGCGAGCGUUGUCCGGAAUGACUGGGCGUAAAGGGUGCGUAGGCGGCCCGAGAGGUCCUGGGUGAAAGGCCCCGGCUCAACCGGGGAGGGCCCCAGGAAACCGGCGGGCUAGGGGGCUGGAGAGGGCCGCGGAAUUCCCGGUGUAGCGGUGAAAUGCGUAGAUAUCGGGAAGAACACCAGUGGCGAAGGCGGCCUCCUGGACUAACACUGACGCUGAGGUACGAAAGCGUGGGGAUCAAACAGG